UGGUCCAAAGGUCAACGGUAUACACUCUUACCCCGGUAGCGGAGGUUCGAUCCCUCCUAUCGU
rnacentral:tRNA from 16 species